AGAAGGAUAGCUAGGUCAAAUGGUGGUUCCAUUCCCAGAUUUCCAAGGAAUCUCCAUACUACUUUCCAUAUUUGAUGCACCAAUUUGCAGUCCUACCAGCAAU
rnacentral:pre_miRNA from 1 species